rfam:Candidatus Spechtbacteria bacterium RIFCSPLOWO2_01_FTLL_46_10 rifcsplowo2_01_scaffold_22958, whole genome shotgun sequence.
GUUUAGUUAAGGGUGUAUGGAGGAUGCCUUGACACCAAGAGGGGAUGAAGGACGUGGCGUAGCUGCGAUAAGCUUCGGGGAGGUGUGUAGCAACCUUUGAUCCGGAGAUUUCCGAAUGGGGAAACCCUGCCGUGCAAACCACGGCAAGCCGUGCUUUGCACGGAAAUUCGAAAUACGAAUAUCGAAAUCCUAAACAAAUUCUAAAGACUAAAAUUCAAAAUCCAAAACGUUUUAUUUGGAACAUUUGAAUUUGGAAUUUUGAAUUUGUUUCGAGUUUCGGAUUUAGAAUUUCGGAUUUCCGCGCAGAGCGCGGUACCGUACCCGCUGAAGUAAAACAUUCUAGUAAGCGGAGGAAGAGAUACCGUAAAUGCGUGCUUUGCACGCUGCAUAAGAGCUUAUGGCUAAUUGUUUAUUGUUUUUACAGUUUAUGAUUAGAGGUUUGCAAUUUGCGGCGCGCUAAGCACGCUUGGUAUUCCCUUAGUAGCGGCGAGCGAACAGGGAAUAGCCCAAACCCUACUUUAUGUAGGGGGUUGUAGGGCACGGCUUUUAGUGAAAGAAGUUUAGGCGAAUGACCCUGGAAGGGGCGACCAAAGAGGGUAAUAGUCCCGUAGUUGAAAAAUUUCAAUCACGUGCUGUGUUCCUGAGUAAUUCGAGGCACGACUACCUCGAAUGAAUCAGCCCGAACUAUCGGGCAAGGCUAAAUACUCUUGGUGAUCGAUAGUGAACUAGUACCGUGAGGGAAAGGUGAAAAGUAGCCCGGGAGGGCAGUGAAAUAGUACCUGAAACCAUAUACCUACAAGGAACAGGAGCCCGCAAGGGUGACUGUGUGCCUUUUGCAUAAUGAUCCAACGAGUUUAUGUGUACUGCUAGUUUAAACACUUUAAUGUGUGAAGGCGUAGGGAAACCGAGUCCUAAUAAGGCGUUUUUCUAAAUUAUAUUUUUCCGCCAAGUAUAUGCGCGGGAAAGUAUAAUUUAGGUGCAGUGCAUAUAAGACCCGAAGCCAAGCGAUCUACCCAUGGCCAGGAUGAACCCCGCUUAACCGCGGGGGGAGGUCCGCACCCAUUCGCUGUGCAACACGACGGGAUGAGCUGUGGGUCGCAGUGAAAAGCUAAUCGAGCUUGGUAAUAGCUGGUUCUCUCCGAAACAUCUUUAGGGAUGGCCUCGGACGAAUCUGUGUGGAGGUAGAGCACUAGUUGGUCUAUUGAAGCUUUGCUGAGACAGACCAGAUAAACUCCGAAUUCCAUGCAGUUAUAUCCGGGAGUUAGAACGCGGGGGCUAAGCUCCGCGCUCGAAAGGGAAAGAGCCCAAACCACCGUCUAAGGUCCCCAAGUGUAUGCUAAGUGGUAAAGGAUGUAGAAAUUCUUAAACAGCCAGGAGGUUGGCUUAGAAGCAGCCACCCUUCAAAAAGUGCGUAAUAGCUUACUGGUCUAGAAUUUCCGCGCCGAAGAUUUAACGGGGCUAAGCAUACCACCGACGACGUGGCUCCGACGCCCGCAAGGGGGUCGGGGNNNNNNNNNNNNNNNNNNNNNNNNNNNNACUGAAGUCGUAUCGUAAGGUGCGGUGGAGCGGCAGGAAGAGAGAAUGUUGGAAUGAGUAACCGCAAGAAGGGUGAGAUACCCUUCCGCCGAAAACCCAAGGUUUCCUGAGCAAUGGCAAUCAACUCAGGGUUAGGCAGCCCUAAGGUCAGGCCCGAAAGGGUCGGUCCGAUGGACGGCCGGUUAAUAUUCCGGCCCUUUUAUGGUAUUCGAUGGGAUGACGGAGAUUUGUAGCUUGCGCGUGUUAUUGGAUUCACGUUUGCGCUCUGAGGCCGCAGUCGGAGAAAUGCCGAUUGUAUAAGCCAAUGGAGCGUGAAAACGCCCCGUUACGGGGCAGAUGCAAGUGAGCAAUCUUCCAAGAAAAAUCUCUAAGGUUAGUACCAUAAAAUCUGUACCGCAAACCAACACAGGUGGGUAGGUCGAGUAGACCAAGGCGAACGGGUGAGUCCUCGUCAAGGAACUCGGCAAAUUAGCUAGGCGUAAGUUCGCAAUAUGCCUUCCCCGACGUAAGUCGGGGCGCAGCUAAAGUUUGUCUAGCGACUGUUUACCAAAAACACAGGUCUCCGCAAACUCGUAAGAGUAUAUAUGGGGGCUGACACCUGACCACUGCCGGAACGUCAAGUGUUGUUUGUCCGUUGCUUCGGUGACGGGCUUGCGACACAAGCGCCGGUGAAGGUCGGCCGUAACUAUAACGGUCCUAAGGUAGCGAAAUUCCUUGGCACAUAAUUAGUGUCCCGCACGAAAGGUGUAACGACUGGGCAGCUGUCUCGACGAGGAGCCCGGUGAAAAUGCAGUACCGGUAAAGAUGCCGGUUACCCGCGGAUAGACGAAAAGACCCCGGGAGCUUUACUGCAGCUUUUCAUUGUUCCAGUGAUUUUGAUGCGUAGUGUAGUGGGGAGGCUUUGAAGCUAUGACUUCGGUUGUGGUGGAGCCGCCAAUGAAACACCCAUCUUUAAAAUUGCUGUAACUAACCUGCUGCUAAACACAGUGGGAACAGUGAAUGGCGGGUAGUUUAAGUGGGGCGCUUGCCUCCUAAAUUGUAGCGGAGGCGUUUAUUAAGGUCAGCUAGCUCCGGAUGGAAAUCGGAGCGAUAGUGUAAAGGCACAAGCUGGCUUUACUGCAAGGCAUGUUAGCCGCGCUUUCUGAAACCAUACGCAAUCUUAUGAGCGCAUAUGGGAGUAAGAAACUCUGUACCUUGCUUGCAAGAUGCAGAGAGUUGCGAAAGCAGAACUUAGUGAACCGACCUUUCUUUAUAGAAAGGUGGAAGAUUAUCAGACAAAAGUUACCCCGGGGAUAACAGGCUGGUCUCCCCCGAGAGUCCAUAUCGACGGGGAGGUUCGGCACCUCGAUGUCGGCUCGUCCUAUCCUGGGGCUGGAGCAGGUCCCAAGGGUUUGGCUGUUCGCCAAUUAAAAGGGUACGCGAGCUGGGUUCAGACCGUCAACGAAACUGAAUUCUUAAAGAUAACUUGCGGCGGCCCAGAGAAGUAAUUCUCUGUGGAAAAAACUGACUCAUAUCGGUGAAGUCCUAUCAUGCGGUUGUAUUUCAACCUGUCGUAUGUUAGGAUAAUACCGAGGGAAGUCUUAUCUUUGUGUAUGCGAAAAUUAACGAAAGAAAAAGCUGCUUACAUCGCCGGAUUUCUCGAUGGCGAUGGCAGUAUUCAUGUGCGCUUAAAACCUAACGAUACUUAUCGUUAUGGAUUUCAGGUAGCACCAAAUAUCGUUUUUUAUCAAUCCCAAAAGGAGCAGGAGUUUCUGGAGCGUUUGAGGCAAACGGUAGGAGGCGGAUAUGUUCGCAGGAGAAACGAUGGCAUCGCCGAAUACGUUAUCGGCGAUGUUGGGACAAUGAGAGAUCUUAUUAGUAGUGUUUUGCCUUAUCUUAUACUAAAGAAGCGGCAAGCAAAGUUGCUUGUUAAAAUUUUUGAAAUAAAAGAAAAGGUUAAAAACAAGAAGGAUUUUCUCCAACUUGCAAAACUCAUAGACGAAUAUCAAAACCUGAAUUAUUCAAAAAAACGCACCGUUAACUCUUCACAAGUAGCUCAAAGUUUUAAACAAAGGUAAUGACCCCGUAGAGACUUAGCUCUUAUGAGCUAGAUGGAAAGAGUUUUCCAUAAUACGUCGGUCUCCCGAUACAAAAUCGGGAUGAUGGUAUAGUCCACACUUCUGGCAACAGAAGGAAUUUUAUGCGCGAGACAGGUUGGUCUCUAUCUUCCGUGGGCGUUGAGCUUUGAGGGAGGUCACUCCUAGUACGAGAGGACCGGAGUGAACGAACCUCUGGUGUACCAGUUGUCGCGCCAGCGGCAUGGCUGGGUAGCUAUGUUCGGACGGGAUAAGCGCUGAAAGCAUAUAAGCGCGAAGCCCUACCCGAGAUUAGAGCUCAAGACCCGUAGUAGACUACUACGUUGAUAGGCCGCAGGUGUAAGCACAGCGAUGUGUUGAGCCGAGCGGUACUAAUAGGUCAGAUUAACCUG